rnacentral:rRNA from 1 species
UACAGAGGUGGCAAGCGUUGUCCGGAAUUAUUGGGCGUAAAGAGCUCGUAGGCGGUUUGUCACGUCGGAUGUGAAAACCCGAGGCUUAACCUCGGGCCUGCAUUCGAUACGGGCUGACUAGAGUUCGGUAGGGGAGACUGGAAUUCCUGGUGUAGCGGUGAAAUGCGCAGAUAUCAGGAGGAACACCGGUGGCGAAGGCGGGUCUCUGGGCCGAUACUGACGCUGAGGAGCGAAAGCGUGGGGAGCGAACAGG